rnacentral:misc_RNA from 1 species
GUUAAGUAGUCCAACACAUCAUCAACAAACAUGGCUGGUAACGGAGUUUCGAGGGGGCACAUUCGGCCAGGAAAAACACCACAAUUUCUAACAAUUGGUUUACUUUUAGUAAUAUGUAUACUUACAUUUAAUUACUGGAAUGUUUCAUCAAGAGGGAAAGCUCUACAAAAAGAGGUUAAAGAGAUGACAGACACGUUAGAGGAGCUUGCUGUUAAAAAGGUCCACCUAGAAAAACGAAGCACAGCACUACAGAACCAGAUAACCGAAGUUAACCACUUAAACGAGGAGCUACGCUCCCUGAAACUUAGUGCCGACAAUCAAAAAGAUAAAUUUGAAAGAGACUUAGAAAGUUUGAAAGAAGAACUUGCAUAUAUAAAGCAAGAGAGAGACUCUUAUCGAGAUGCUAUUGUACACCUCCAAGGAAACUACACUGAUGCUAUGAGAAAGCUAGAUAGUACAAGAAAUGAGUUUGAUAAUAUGCGUCAAGAGUUUGAGAAAUACCAGGAGAUGCAUGAAACACACAACAAACAACACAAUGAGGAUGUUCUCAGGACACAAGACCAGCUGCAAGAAUGUGAAGUACAACGUCAACAGGCCCUUACGGUGAAGGACAACCUGCAAGCAACUUUACAUUCUCUUCAGGCGGAACUACAGCAGGUGCGAAACCAAUAUCGUGCCGUUCAACGUGAAGGUUAUCAGCAGUUCAACAACCAGCAGCAGUAUAAUCUUGGCCAGACACAGCAACUUCCUGCCGGACAACAACAACAACAACAACUACAACAACAACUACUGCUACAACAACAGGGAAAUGUUUUGAGGAAUCCUACAUAUGGGCAGCAAAUCGGGCAACAACAGCAGCAGAACAUGUUAAACCCUCAAGAUGAUAAGAAUCAGUACAACUUCCAACAGAAUGUGAAGACCAACCAGUAUAACCCAAACCCACCUGUUGUCAAGGCAGAAACUGAACUUGUCAAUCAACUGCCUCAACUACCACAACAAGAAAUUCAAGAAGAAGAGAAAAAAGAGGGAAAUGAACCUGUAGAAGAACAGAAAGUUGAGGAAACACAACAGGAACAAGGCCAAGAUCCUGGGCCUCCACAGAUGGAGGUCAAUGAUGAAAAGGUAAACGUUCCAAAUGAAGAAACUGGCAGCAAAGAAAAUAAGAAUGAAGAAGAAAAUAAGAAUGAAGAAAAAAAUGAAGAAGAGGAAGAAAACCGGCAGCAAGAUAUGGCAAAUGGUGGAGAUGAAGAUGAUGAAGAAAAUUUGGACGAGGAGGAAAAACUGGUAGAUGAGAGAGACAGGGCACAGGGUUCACAUGGCGAGAGAGUGGAUGGCGAUGAACAAAAUGAAGAUGCAGCUUAUCGUGAUGCACAGUUGGCCGCAGAGAAAGAAGACGAAAAUGAUAGUGACAAAGGAGAUGAUAACGAGAUUAGGAAUGAGGUGCAGGAUGAGCAAGUUGUAUUAGAUGCAAAUCCCGUGCCAUUGUUUAAUGAAGAUGAAGUUCAAAAGGAUGGUUUAAUAGCAGAGAGCAAGGAUUAUGCAGAGUGGGAAGAACUAGAUGGUGUUAACAAAGAUGAGAAUGGAGGGGAAGAAGAGAAUGGAGGGGAAGAAGAGAAUGGAGGGGAAGAGGAGAAUGGAGGGGAAGAGAAUGGAGAAGAAGAAGAAGAAGAAGAAGAGGAAGGGAAUGUAGGGGAAGAAGAGAAUGGAGAAGGAGGGGAAGAUGAGGAAGAGAUUGAUGUACCAGACAAUUUUGAAGCUCAAUAUAGAAACAAAGGGGAUAAUGACCAGAACAAAGAUGAUGCUAAUGAUGCUCAUGACAUGGGGGAUAAUGGUAAUCAAGACAAUGAUGACUAUGCAUAAUCAUCAUAUUAAGGACUUUGCAGUUAAAAGUCCUUGGUCAUAUUAAGCAAUAUAGUUCCUUUUUAGUUUAAAUUCUUAUGUUUAAAAAAUAGAUCUAAAUAAUGUUGUGGGUUGUUUCAGUCUUUCAGUUAGAUAUACAAAAAUAUUUAGUUGAUUUUGUCACACAGAUGUCCAUAAAUUAUAUUAAUUAUAACAUGCACCUCAUAACAUUGUGUCUGCAUUUUGCAAAGGGAAAUCGUUUUGUAAACACAUGUAUUUUUGUAUUCAAGCUUUUUGAUCAAAAGACUUCAAUGAUAAAUUUAGUGAAUACAAGAUCGUUAUAACGAGUUUAUGUUACAAAAUUCAAUAAUAGGGUUAGUUAUUAAAUAAGCAUUUCUAGCAGUUAUUAUUAUUAUUAUUGUUGUUAAUUAUUGUUGGUGAUUAAUGGUGCAGUAUUCUGGACAUAUUGUAUUGUAUUUGCUUUUUUCAGUUUGUAGCUAAAGGCCAACAGACAGCGUUGUAUGAUGCAGCCCUACGUUACUCAUCGUCACGAACAGUCUUAAGCUGUCGUGAGAAAUAUUUAAAAUGUUUAAAAUUCUAUGACUCGACUGUUCCCGAUGCAAACCCUUGCAUCUGCAUUUAACUUGCACUGACACGACACAGCAACAAAUCAUGUCGAGCUGCAUCGUAUGACGCUGUCUUGAGUUGGCCUUAACUAUACAUUUUAGUUAUAGCAUACCUUUUCAAUAAUGUUAAGUAGGUACAAAUAUAAUAUACUAUGUAUCUACAUCAUUAGAUUUUAAAUAAAUAUUUAAUUAUAUCAAAGGACCAUACAGUAUAUGGUAUUGACAUUUUCCAGUCCUAAUGAUAAGACAUCUCAGGCGCGUACCGUGAAAGAAAGUGCCCUUUAAAUAUGCUCGCUUCACUCACAAAUAACGCACCCCGCGAAUUCUGAAAGCUUCGCUAAAUUGCUCCGAGUUCAGCUCGCCCCCUGCGCUUUCGUUUCGAACCCCCUUAGAUUUUUCACCGUACGCCCCUGCAUCUUGUUAUUAUAUUCAGGGCUCACAGUGUUAGGGAAAUUUGGUACCUUUGAUAUAAGUAGUUAUAACUAGAUUACUAGGUGAUACCUUGGAUUACUGCAAUAAUAAUCUACUUAACUAGCUGACAGUUUUAAGUCUUCUUAUAGACACUGAGGUUGAUUUUUUUUUUUAAGUAUUAAGCCGGGCACUCACUACGCACGACGCCAUUCUAUCAAGAACGCAACGCGACGACACGCGCGCAACAGAUCAUUUUUAAUGACGAUCUGUUCAGACUGCUGCUGAAAAUCGGUAGACGGCGUCGCGUUGUCCAUCGCUCGCAGAGAGCAGUGUUAGAUUCAUCAUGCGACGGUCGUACAACGUAAUGAGUGGCUGGCUUUACAGGUACAGUAGUUGCUUUGUAAUGGUUCUCUUAUUUCAAAAUCACAUGCAAGUAGAAUUCAUUGGCAAGAGCAGGUGUUAUUCAGAACUGAUGCUGGCAGGCUAUUUACUAUUAAUUGUAUUUUCUAAAAACAAUCACCAGUAUUAUACACUAUCAAUGUCUGGGAGACUAACUAACUGGUUGCAUAGGUGCCAUUCAAUUUUUUUCAAGAGAGUACAAAAACUUCCGCUACCCUCCCUCCCCUAACAAGUUACAUAAAAUGAUUUUUGUCAAUUAGAGAAUAUAAUUUUUUCAUAAAAAAAUACAUAAACUGUUCAAUCCUAUCGAAAGUGAUGAAAAAUAGAUGACCCUAGGCAGAAUAUAAAAAAAUGUUUAUUGUACCAUGGCAAUCAUGUUACGAUCCUUUUCAUUGUGAACUGUGAAUGUUAAUUCUACAUUUGGAGGGAUUGGAUUGAAAAAUCAUUUAAAUAGUAAUUUUUAGUUUCUCUAUCAUUCAUUUUAACUUUAUUGUUUACUUGGAUGGUAGAUGUGCUGUGAAUAGUCACUAGACAUUAAAUCAGACAGGCCUAUUCUUCAUAAUUCUAAGAAACAUUUAUCAAGAUGGUUUAAAUUUAUUAAUUUAUAUAAAAGACCAUGUGUAUAGGGUUGCGAUUAAAUCACUUGGGCUGCUAAUUUGAAUCUGAUAUUGUGUAUGCCCAUCAAAGCCUCAGAGCAUGCAGCCCAAUCUUUCACCAGCCUCACCUUGUGCUGUAUAAAUGUGUGUGUUUAUUGUACUCUACUACCAAAUCCUAUUGUCAAUACAUUUCCUGCUGGGGUAAGUAUGGUAAACGCGGUCCACAGAGUCUUAAACGCAAUAGAUAGAACAUCUCGUGCAUGUUUAAUAACCAUGCUGAGAAAAUAUUAAUUUGUUUCGGAUGAUUUUUGCUGUAAAAUAAAUUUUUGAUAAGAAUUUUAUUUUCCGCCAUUUGUUUUUGGUAGUGUAUAUAUUUGUUGGACUGUAUUAUUUUAAUCAUUAAAUAUAUAUAUGGGGUACAUAAUGUACUUAAGUUCUGUUUUAAUUCGUAAGUAGGAAUACUUUUUAGAGCAUUAUCUAUCACAAUACCCUUAUUUUAUUAAAAUUAUACAUGAUUCCAACUAAAUUUUUAAUUGUAUUUUUUUUAUCCCAUCAUUUAGUUUUUAUUUUUAGAUAUGAGAACAUGUUUAUUAAAAUAAAACUGAUUUUAAUUAUUGUAGCUAAUUUCUAUUUUAACUUUUUAAAUGGAUUACUAUUAUUGUUUUACUUGAUAAUUACAAUAUAAUUAAAGUACCAUAUAUACUCUGUACUGUAUUAUAAUUAUGAUCAUUAAUGAUCAUUUGGACAUUUUAAUUAAACUGAUAAUGAGCAUUUGUAGCAGAAUACCUAAUGCCACCACUACUGAAACAGUACCAUUAAUAAUAUUACACACAACUUUUAAUGUUAUCAUUGUUAUCAAUACAUUAUUGAUAACAGGUACAAGAACUCAAUAAAAUGUUGUGUUCAAACAGGUUGGAUUGAAACCUGCAUCAGUACAGUGUAUGGUAAUAGGGGGCUUUCGUUUGUACUGUUUGGUGCAGCGGGAACGGUUUGGUUUCCCAAUCACAAGGUCAGAGUUUCAAUCCCUCGCGCUGCAUUUCGCUUGUGUCCUUGAGCAAGGUACUUUAUCUGCAUUGCUUCUCUCCACCCAGGAGUAUAAAUGGGUACCUUGUGGGGUUGAGGCAACACUUAACCCAAUGACCAGGGAAAAGAACUGCACUGUAUAACCUCAAGGAAGAGGCGCAUUAUAAAUGCCAGUAUCAUUCGAUAAAAUCUAGAACAUACAGGCAUCAUGUAAAAUUAUCUGCGCAUGUGAGGAUGUUUAUUUUUUGUCUGAAUUCUAGGAUGCAGUUUGGCCCAAAUCUAUGACAAUAGAAUCUGUCUUGGGCUCAAGCUACAUAAUCGAAAGCUCCCUAAUUGUACAGUUUCAAGUUGUCAGGAUAUGUAAAUAACAUUAUGUAAGACCUUGCAUGUUUUGUUGUGGAUAAACAAAUGCUCAUCAAAUUAAUCUUCAGUUUAUCAGUAGAUAAAAGAUGGACUACUUACACAAUUCUCUUGUUACCUCUAGCUUUCUUAGUUUUAUGUUAGUGAUGUGGUACAAUUGGAGGAGAAAAUAAUAAAACUUUAAAAA